GACGAACGCUGGCGGCGUGCUUAACACAUGCAAGUCGAACGCUGAAGCUCAGCUUUUGUUGGGUGGAUGAGUGGCGAACGGGUGAGUAACACGUGAGUAACCUGCCUCCUUCUUUGGGAUAACGCCCGGAAACGGGUGCUAAUACUGGAUAUUCACUGGUCUUCGCAUGGGGGUUGGUGGAAAGGGUUUUUCUGGUGGGGGAUGGGCUCGCGGCCUAUCGGCUUGUUGGUGGGGUGAUGGCCUACCAAGGCUUUGACGGGUAGCCGGCCUGAGAGGGUGACCGGUCACAGUGAGACUGAGAUACGGCCCAGACUCGUACGGGGGGCAGCAGAGGGGAAUAUUGCACAAUGGGCGCAAGACUGAUGCAGCGACGCCGCGUGAGGGAUGGAGGCCGUCGGGUUGUGAACCUCUUUCGCUAAUGGUCAAGCCGCAACAAUGGUUGUGGUGAGGGUAGUGGGUAAAGAAGCGCCGGCUAACUACGUG
rnacentral:rRNA from 1 species